rnacentral:rRNA from 1 species
AGAAUCAACGCUGGCGGCGUGCUUAACACAUGCAAGUCGAGCGGAAAGGCCCUUCGGGGUACUCGAGCGGCGAACGGGUGAGUAACACGUGAGCAACCUGCCCUCAGCUCUGGGAUAGCUCCCGGAAACGGGAAUUAAUACCGGAUACGACCCCGACCGACAUCGGUCAGGGUGGAAAGUUUUUCGGCUGAGGAUGGACUCGCGGCCUAUCAGCUAGUUGGUGGGGUAACGGCCCACCAAGGCGACGACGGGUAGCCGGCCUGAGAGGGCGACCGGCCACACUGGGACUGAGACACGGCCCAGACUCCUGCGGGAGGCAGCAGUGGGGAAUAUUGCGCAAUGGGCGAAAGCCUGACGCAGCGACGCCGCGUGGGGGAUGAAGGCCUUCGGGUUGUAAACCCUUUCAGCAGGGACGAAGCGAGAGUGACGGUACCUGCAGAAGAAGCGCCGGCUAACUACGUGCCAGCAGCCGC